rnacentral:rRNA from 1 species
CCUACGGGAGGCAGCAGUAAGGAAUAUUGGUCAAUGGAGGCAACUCUGAACCAGCCAUGCCGCGUGCAGGAUGACGGCCCUAUGGGUUGUAAACUGCUUUUGUACCAGAGAAAACCUAUCUACGUGUAGAUAGCUGAUAGUAUGGUAAGAAUAAGCAUCGGCUAACUUCGUGCCAGCAGCCGCGGUAAGACGAAGGAUGCAAGCGUUAUCCGGAUUCAUUGGGUUUAAAGGGUGCGUAGGCGGACUUGUAAGUCAGUGGUGAAAUCUCUUUGCUUAACAAAGAAACUGCCAUUGAUACUGCAGGUCUAGAGUAUAGAUGACGUUGGCGGAAUAUGACAUGUAGUGGUGAAAUACUUAGAUAUGUCAUAGAACACCGAUUGCGAAGGCAGCUAACGAAACUAUAACUGACGCUGAGGCACGAAAGUGCGGGGAUCAAACAGGAUUAGAUACCCUGGUAGUCCGCACCGUAAACGAUGAUUACUCGUUGUUGGCGAUAUGACAGUCAGCGACCAAGCGAAAGCGAUAAGUUAAUUCACCUUGGGGAGUACGCCGGNAACGGUGAACUUAAAGGAAUUGACGGCUUGAGACGNGCGAGACGACGACGAGGAGAG